GAGUUUGAUCCUGGCUCAGAACGUACGCCGGUGGCACGCCUAACACAUGCAAGUCGAACGCAGUAGCAAUACUGAGUGGCGAACGGGUGAGUAUAAUGUAGGUAUCUGCCUUUUGGUUUGGAAUAACACGAGGAAACUUGUGCUAAUACCGGAUAAGCCUUCACAGGGAAAGUCUUAACGCCAAAAGAUGAGCCUGCACUUGAUUAGCUAGUUGGUAAGGUAAUGGCUUACCAAGGCUACGAUCAAUAGCUGUUCUUAGAGGAAGAUCAGCCACAUUGGGACUGAGACACGGCCCAAACUCCUACGGGAGGCAGCAGUGGGGAAUCCUGCACAAUGGGGGAAACCCUGAUGCAGCGAUGCCGCGUGAGUGAAGAAGGCCUUUGGGUUGUAAAGCUCUUUCGUCGGGGAAGAAAAUGACUGUACCCGAAUAAGAAGGUCCGGCUAACUUCGUGCCAGCAGCCGCGGUAAUACGAAGGGACCUAGCGUAGUUCGGAAUUACUGGGCUUAAAGAGCACGUAGGUGGUUAAGAAAGUUGGUGGUGAAAUCCCAAGGCUUAACCUUGGAACUGCCACCAAAACUUUUUAACUAGAGUAUGAUUGAGGAAAGCGGAAUUUCUAGUGUAGAGGUGAAAUUCGUAGAUAUUAGAAAGAACACCAAUUGCGAAGGCAGCUUUCUGGGUCAUAACUGACACUGAGGUGCGAAAGCAUGGGUAGCGAAGAGGAUUAGAUACCCUCGUAGUCCAUGCUGUAAACGAUGUGUGCUAGACGUUGGAAAUUUAUUUUCAGUGUCGCAGCAAAAGCGUUAAGCACACCGCCUGGGGAGUACGACCGCAAGGUUAAAACUCAAAUGAAUUGACGGGGACCCGCACAAGUAGUGGAGCAUGUGGUUUAAUUCGAAGAUACGCGCAGAACCUUACCAACACUUGACAUGUUCGUCGCGACUCUAAGAGAUUAGAGUCUUCGGUUUGGCCGGACGAAACACAGGUGCUGCAUGGCUGUCGUCAGCUCGUGUCGUGAGAUGUUGGGUUAAGUCCCGCAACGAGCGCAACCCUUACUUUUAGUUGCUACCAUUCAGUUGGGCACUCUAAAAGAACUGCCAGUGAUAAGCUGGAGGAAGGUGGGGAUGACGUCAAGUCCUCAUGGCCCUUACGUGUUGGGCUACACACGUGCUACAAUGGUAUUCACAGAGGGAUGCAAAGAGGCAACUCUAAGCCAACCCCAAAAAAAUACCUCAGUUCGGAUUGUACUCUGCAACUCGAGUACAUAAAGCUGGAAUUACUAGUAAUCGUGGAUCAGCGCGCCACGGUGAAUACGUUCCCGGGUCUUGUACACACCGCCCGUCACACCAUGGAAGUUGGUUACACCUUAAGGCAAAGCUUAAAACCUUUGACUACGGUACGAUCAGCGACAGGGGUGAAGUCGUAACAAGGUAACC
rnacentral:rRNA from 1 species